rnacentral:rRNA from 1 species
GACGAACGCUGGCGGCGUGCUUAACACAUGCCAGUCGAACGCGCCUGUCCUCUGGGUUUCUGGGGGGUGGGUGAGUGGCGAACGGGUGAGUAACACGUGAGUAACCUGCCCCCUUCUUCGGGAUAACGGUCUGAAAGGGCUGCUAAUACCGGGUAUUCACUGGUCUCCGCAUGGGGUCUGGUGGAAAGGUUUUUUUCUGGUGGGGGAUGGGCUCGCGGCCUAUCAGCUUGUUGGUGGGGUGAUGGCCCACCAAGGCUUUGACGGGUAGCCGGCCUGAGAGGGUGACCGGUCACAUUGGGACUGAGAUACGGCCCAGACUCCUACGGGAGGCAGCAGUGGGGAAUAUUGCACAAUGGGCGCAAGCCUGAUGCAGCGACGCCGCGUGAGGGAUGGAGGCCUUCGGGUUGCGAACCUCUUUCGCCCGUGGUCAAGCCGCGACGUGGGUCGUGGUGAGGGUAGUGGGUAAAGAAGCGCCGGCUAACUACGUG